AGCGAACGCUGGCGGCAGGCCUAACACAUGCAAGUCGAACGGACCCUUCGGGGUUAGUGGCGGACGGGUGAGUAACACGUGGGAACGUACCUUUAGGUUCGGAAUAGCUCCUGGAAACGGGUGGUAAUGCCGAAUGUGCCCUUCGGGGGAAAGAUUUAUCGCCUUUAGAGCGGCCCGCGUCUGAUUAGCUAGUUGGUGGUGUAACGGACCACCAAGGCGACGAUCAGUAGCUGGUCUGAGAGGAUGAUCAGCCACAUUGGGACUGAGACACGGCCCAAACUCCUACGGGAGGCAGCAGUGGGGAAUCUUACGCAAUGGGCGAAAGCCUGACGCAGCCAUGCCGCGUGAAUGAUGAAGGUCUUAGGAUUGUAAAAUUCUUUCACCGGGGACGAUAAUGACGGUACCCGGAGAAGAAGCCCCGGCUAACUUCGUGCCAGCCGCCGCCGUAAAAC
rnacentral:rRNA from 1 species